UUACAAAUCAGAGCGACAUAACUACAAUACGGCCGAAAAAGAAAAUUAACAAAAAAUCAUUAAAGAAGAUUUGAUCAACUCCAUCAGAUACCAUCAGCUGAAAACAAUAUUGAGACAAUAGAGAUGGCCAAAUCUGCAUGGAAAAAUCUAUGAGAUUGAUUUAUGAGGGAACAUAAAAACUAUAGAGCCAGGGAUUCAGUAUACCAAUUUGAAAAAAACAAAUUCUGUUAUAUCUAAAAUUGAUGAAGCAAAUAUUGCUAGAGCAAUGUAUGAGCCAAUGAAUGGUAAUGAAAAUUAUCAAUAUG